GUCUACAGGCAUACCACCCUGAACACUCCUAAUCUCAUCUGAUCUUUGAAGCUAAGCAGAACAGGGCCUGGUUAGUACUUCAAAGGGAGAAAUACCCAGAAUAUGCACAUC
rnacentral:rRNA from 1 species